rnacentral:tRNA from 1 species
GGGCUCGUAGGGUAGCCUGGAUUAUCCUUUUGGCCUUCGAAGCCGACGACUGGGGUUCAAAUCCCCACGGGCCCGCCA